rnacentral:rRNA from 1 species
GAUGAACGCUAGCGGCAGGCCUAAUACAUGCAAGACGAACGGCAAGAAUGAUAGCAAUAUUGUUCCUAGAGUGUCGUAAGGGUGCGUAACACGUAUGCAAUCUACCCGAAACAGGAGGAUAGCUCCCCGAAAGGGGAAUUAACACUCCAUAAGAUCAUAGAAUGGCAUCAUUCAGUGAUUAAAACUGAGGUGGUUUCGGAUGAGCAUGCGUUUGAUUAGUUAGUUGGUGAGGUAACGGCUCACCAAGACGAUGAUCAAUAGGGGAACUGAGAGGUUGAUCCCCCACACUGGAACUGAGAUACGGGCCAGACUCCUACGGGAGGCAGCAGUAGGGAAUAUUGGACAAUGGGUGAGAGCCUGAUCCAGCCAUGCCGCGUGCAGGAAGAAGGCCUUCUGGGUUGUAAACUGCUUUUGCCAGGGGAUAAAAUUUCCUUGCGAGGAAAAUUGAAGGUACCUGGUGAAUAAGCCACGGCUAACUACGUGCCAGCAGCCGCGGUAAAAC